rnacentral:rRNA from 1 species
UACAGAGGGGGCAAGCGUUAUUCGGAAUUAUUGGGCGUAAAGGGCGCGUAGGCGGCCGGACAAGUGGAAGGUGAAAUCCCCGAGCUCAACUCGGGAACUGCCCUCCAAACUGUUUGGCUUGAGUCCGGGAGAGGUGAGUGGAAUUCCCAGUGUAGCGGUGAAAUGCGUAGAUAUUGGGAGGAACACCAGUGGCGAAGGCGGCUCACUGGACCGGAACUGACGCUGAGGCGCGAAAGCGGUGGGGAGCAAACAGG